rnacentral:rRNA from 1 species
AACCAGCAUGUCUGGCAAUAGGGGUGUUGUGAUGUAGCCUCACAACUUCCGUACAUAGAUCUUUGUAAUCAGGCACACAGAGCCUGUGGAACUUGUCAUACAAGAAUCUGUCUUCUUCACAUAUUGCCCAAUCUUACAUAAGUUGGCAAUGUCUCCUUCCUCGAAGUGACAUGAGGCAUUAUGGAUGCAUUGUUUUAUUGUAUCCCAUGUCCUAAUCUUUUCUGGGGUGAUGACUAACAUGCCUUUGUUGUCAUCCUUGAGUCCUAGUGUGUGAUCCUCUUGUCAAGAGAGGGCAUCUGCUUUUCCCAUAGUGGCACCAACCUUGUGCACCCAUUUGAAAUUGAAUCUAGAUAAAUCCUAUGCCCAUUGGGCCUGUCACUAAUUGAGAUCUUGGCAAGUUGUGUAGAAUUGCAAAUUUGCAUGAUCAUUCCAGAUUUCAAAUUUGUGUCAUGCACCUUCGACAUAGUGUCUCCAUAUCUCUAGUGCCCAUAUUAUACUGAGCAUCUCUUUGUCAGCAAUAGGAUAAUUCUGUUCCUCCAGUGACAUGAAGUGUGAAGAGUAGGCUAUGGGAUGCCAUUUGUCUUCCUUUUGAAUAGAUAACACAGCUCCUGUGGCAUAAUCUGAGGUGUCACAUUCAAGGUGGAAUUGAGUGUGAUUAUUCAGGAAGGCAAGAAUUGGGGUAGUGGUAAAAUACUGUUUUAGUGUGUCAAACACAUGCUGCUGUUCUGGCUUCCAUUCAAAGGAUAUUUCUCUUUCUUAAUAAGAUUGUUGGGUGGUCUGGUCACUUUGGCAUGGUCUUUAAUGAAUCUGUGGUAGAAGUUGGCAAGUCCUAAAAAACUCCUAACUCCUUGGAUGGGCUUUGGUGUGGGCCAUUCUAGAAUGGCUUUUACCUUUGUUUUGUCCAUCUUUAUCUCUUUUUUUCCUACAAUCAUUCUCAAAAAUUCUACUUCUGAGGUGUGGAAUGUGCAUUUUUCAGGUUUUAUGAAUAGGUCAUUUUCUUCUAAUCUAUGGAGUACUUCUAGUAUGAUGUGAUUGUGUUCUUUGCUAUCUGCUAUUUUUGUAAAGAUCAUGAGAUCAUCAAUGUAAACAAUGACACAGUCGUCCAUAUUAGUAAAGAUUUCAUUUAUUAUUGCUUGGAAUGUUCUGGGGGAGUUGCAUAACCCGAAAUACAUAACUAGGGGUUCAAAAGCACCUCUGAAGCAUACAAAAGUGGCUUUCCAUUCAUCUCCUUUUUUGACACAAACAUUGUUGUAUCCCUGUUGAAGGUUGAUCUUGGUGAAUAGUUUAGCCCCUUUGAGCUUAUCAACUAGUUGUGAAAUUAGGGGUAAGGAAUAGUUAUUCUUAACCAUGUGUUCAUUUAGAUAAUCUUGCACCAUGUGUUUGCGUCUGUCUUUCUUAGGUACAAAGAAUACCAGAGAUGUUUGUGGAGAUUUAGAGGGUCUAAUAUAUGCCUUUUGAGUUGAUCAUCUAUGAAUGCAGAGACCUCCUGCUGUUCUUUGACAGAUAAUGGGAUUAUUCUCAAUAUUUUGGAACCAGAAUGUGGAACCCAAAAAAUGGCAACAUAAAUGAACUUGAAGAUGCUGGCAAGGGCCCUGGAAAGAGUUUUCUCUUCUCCUUGACAGCCUAAGACCCUGAAAUUGAUUCACUCAGAGCUAGGGUUUGAUGGCUGGUACAGCUUGACAUCUCCAUUGGGUCCAGUGUGUUCUCAACAGCCCUUGAAAAUCCAAGGGAACAUACGAUGGUUCUCACGUCUGGUCAUGCUCAUAACUGCAGCAGAUCUCCAAGGUGAACAGCCUCUAUUCAAUAGAACAAUGUAAAUAAGAGAAGUCAGCAAAAUAGAUCUGUAACUUUGGAAAAAGGAUUGGUUCUAAGGGUUGGGUGUGUCAGGCCUCAUGUUGGAAGUGUGCUUGCGACCAGGCUGGGGAUUCGUCCUCGAACGGUCUCUGGCUAGGAACACUCGUGUGUGGACGACCUUGGCUUGUCUCUUCAGGGGCAGUUCUGGCGCACACUCAAUGACUGACUUAGAACUGGUGUGGACAAGGGGAAUCUGACUGUCUAAUUAAAACAUAGCAUUGCGAUGGUCGAAAAAUGGUGUUGACACAAUGUGAUUUCUGCCCAGUGCUCUGAAGGUCAGAGUGAAGAAAUUCAACCAAGUGUGGGCAAAUGGCAGGAGUAACUAUGACUCUUGUAAGGUAGCCAAAUGCCUCGUCAUCUAAUUAGUGACAUGCAUGAAUGGAUUAAUGAGAUUACCACUGUCCCUAUCUACUAUCUAGCGAAACCACAGCCAAGGGAACGGGCUUGGCAGAAUCAGCAGGGAAAGAAGACUCUGUUGAGCUUGACUCUGGUUUGACAUUGUGAAAAGACAUAGAGGGCAUAGAAUAAGUGGGAGCUUUGGCACUGGUGAAAUACCACUACCUUUAUCAUCUUUUUACUUAUUUAAUGAUGCGGAACUGGGGCUAACAGUCCCACCUUUUGGCGUUGAAGAUCUCUUGCAGGCUGAUCCAGGUCAAUGACAUUGUCAGGUGGGGAGUUUGGCUGGGGCAGCACAUCUGUUAAAAGAUAAUGCAGGUGUCCUAAGGGAGACUCAACGAGAACAGAAAUCUCAUGUAGAACAAAAGGGUAAAAGUCCCCUUGAUUUCGAUUUUCAGUGUGAAUAUGAACCAUGAAAGUGUGGUCUAUCAAUCCUUUAGUCCCUCUGAGUUUGAGGUUAGAGGUGCCAGAAAAGUUACCACAGGGAUAACUGGCUUGUGGCAGCCAAGCAUUCAUCACAACAUUGCUUUUUGAUCCUUCGAUGUCAGCUCUUCCUAUUAUACCGAAGCAGAAUUCAGUAAGCAUUGGAUUGUUCACCCACUAAUAGGGAAUGUGAGCUGGGUUUAGACUGUCAUGAGACAGGUUAGUUUUACCCUACUGAUGGAGUGGGUCAUCACAAAAGCAAUUGGGCGUAGUAUGAGAGGAACUGUCCAUUCAGAUAAUUGGUAUUUGCACCUGUCUGAUCGGGCAAUGGCGCAAAGCUAUCAUCUGCUCAAUUAUGGCUGAAUGCCUCUAAGUCAGAAUCCGUGCUUGAAGUGAUGACUUCAUUGGUCCUGCACAUGCCAAUGGAGUACAGAUAGAGCUUUGCUCAAGAACCAAAUCAGGUGGCCUAGGCUCGUCUCGCAGAAAUUGAUGGGUGAGCUUGGUCACGAAUUGCAAUCAUGAUAUGCAUGGGGA